ACUGCAAAUCAUUUUGAAGACGUGUAUGUAGGUUCUGAAACGGAAUUCAUAGUGUUGCACAUAGACCCUGAUGUUGAUUAUCAAUUCAGAGUCUGCGCCCGAGGAGACGGCCAGCAGGAAUGGAGUCCUUGGAGUGUUCCCCAGACAGGUCACUCCACACUGGUGCCUCAUGAGUAGACAACUGGCUUUGAAGGAUACAGUCUGAGCAGUCGAAGGAAUAUAGCCCUCCGGAAAGAGUCCUCAGGCGUUCUCUACUCCAGUGCUCCAACUUACUUCUGUGGGCAGACGCUGACAUUCAGAGUUGAAACUGUGGGACAGCCCGACCGAAGAGACAGUAUAGGAGUGUGUGCAGAAAAGCAGAAUGGCUAUGAAUCUCUGCAGCGGGACCAAGCUGUGUGCAUCAGCACAAAUGGUGCAGUCUUUGUCAAUGGAAGAGAAAUGACCAAUCAGUUGCCUGCAGUUGCCUCUGGCUCCACUGUCGCGUUUGACAUCGAAGCUGUGACUCUAGGAACUUCUAACAGCCAUGAAGGUGGGAACGUCAAGCUCCGAGUGACCAUCAGCUCCAGUAACCGGGAUGUGGUGUUUGACUGGCUGCUUGAGCAGGCCUGCGGCUCUCUUUACUUCGGAUGCUCCUUUUUCUACCCCGGAUGGAAAGUGCUGGUAUUUUAGCAUUCGAAGGGCUUGGCUUUGGAGUGAGGGUUUUCUGUUUCUGUCCUCAGCUUAGUUGUCUCUCACUUUGAAAAGGUGAGCUUACCUCUCUGUCCACCAGAAAUGGAAUGUGUUGCUGGGUUGACCUUGUAAGAUUUUAGUAAGAAGUGAGCUGAACGGGGUGGACAAAACCAUAGCUCAGUUUUCUUUUUAGUACAAAUAUCAAACUAGCUUUAAAAGUGUGCAUACUUUUUUCCACUGUUCUUCUUAAAGUUGGCUGUUAGAACAGAAAGUGUCACAUUAGUAAAUCUUCAUCAAGAUUGAAGGCCAGAAGUAAACAACAGAAAAAGCCAGACUCCUCAGUGCUAGUCCAGUCCUGGGUGUUUGCUCCUCUCCACUCCCACCUCAUGAGUGUGCUGGCUUUGCUCCUGUGCUC